rnacentral:pre_miRNA from 1 species
UCUAGAACUCGAGAUAUAGGUUGAACACUGAAUAGUGUCUAGGCUGUAGGAUAGAUUCUAACUUCUCCGUUGUUGCUUAGAUCUGGACUUCCAAAAAAUAGAAUGGAGUCUUGCACUCCUCAUAAAUGUUUUAGGCCUAUGUCUUAACUUUCUAGC